rnacentral:rRNA from 1 species
GACGAACGCUGGCGGCGUGCUUAACACAUGCAAGUCGAACGGAAAGGCCUCUUUCGGGGGGUACUCGAGUGGCGAACGGGUGAGUAACACGCGAGUAACCUGCCCUUGACUUUGGGAUAACUUCAGGAAACUGGGGCUAAUACCGGAUAGGAGCUCCUGCUGCCUGGUGGGGGCUGGAAAGUUUCGGCGGCCGGAGAUGGACUCGCGGCUUAUCAGCUCGUCGGUGGGGUAGUGGCUUACCAAGGCUUUGACGGGUAGCCGACCUGUGAGGGUGACCGGCCACAUUGUGACUGAGAUACGGCCCAGACUCCUACGGGAGGCAGCAGUGGGGAAUAUUGCGCAAUGGGCGGAAGCCUGAUGCAACAACGCCGCGUGCGUGAUGACGUCCUUCGAGUUGUAAACCGCUUUCGCCUGUGACGAGGCGUGAGUGACGGUAAUGGGUAAGAAAGCACCGGCUAACUACGUG